AACUGUGGCUGUAAUUCUGUAACAGCUUUUGCAGACGGCAGCACAACAAAGAGGUCAUCUGCAUAACUCUUUAUAUCAAUUAUUGAAGCACCAUUCAGGGCUUUAGAAAUUGGUGCAAGAUCAAUAGAGUUGAAUUCUGUAAUUGGGAGAGCAGGGAAAUUCAACUCAACGAGAAAGCAAUCUUUUGCUUCGCCAUCAGGAACCUUCUUAGCAGUUAGGAUGCCAGAUAGUGUGACAAACUCAAUUAUGUUAGAAUUUACCAAACCAUUAGAAAAGAGGGCGUGUGAAGCCGCUAGCGUUGCAUGACCACAAAGCUCAACCUCAGCAACAGGAGUAAACCACCUGAGACGGAACUUGGGAUUUGAAUUAACAGUACCGGAGUCAGCGAUGGGAGUCAAAUAGCAGGUCUCGGAUAAUUUGAACUCAGUUGCCACACCUUGCAACCAAUUUUCAUCUUUCUCUUCCUCAAGUAAGCACACCGCUGCGGGGUUCCCCUUGAAGGCGGAGUCUGUGAACGCAUCCACCACAAAGUAUUUAACGAGUUUUCUCCCCAUCCUCCACGCUCCCAGAAGGAAAGAUAGAAAUAAGUUAUGAAUCAGAAGGAAAGUUGCUUCGCAGGAGGAGGUU
rnacentral:misc_RNA from 1 species